UGGCUCAGGAUAAACGCUGGCGGCGUGCUUAACACAUGCAAGUCGAACGGAGUAUUUCUCCCGAGACCGAGGAAGCUUGCUUCCGAAGAAUCAUUUGAAAUACUUAGUGGCGGACGGGUGAGUAACGCGUGGGUAACCUGCCUCACACUGGGGGAUAGCAGUUGGAAACGACUGAUAAUACCGCAUAAGCGCACAAUACCGCAUGGUAUGGUGUGAAAAACUCCGGUGGUGUGAGAUGGACCCGCGUCUGAUUAGCCAGUUGGCGGGGUAACGGCCCACCAAAGCGACGAUCAGUAGCCGGCCUGAGAGGGUGUACGGCCACAUUGGGACUGAGACACGGCCCAAACUCCUACGGGAGGCAGCAGUGGGGAAUAUUGCACAAUGGGGGAAACCCUGAUGCAGCGACGCCGCGUGAGCGAUGAAGUAUUUCGGUAUGUAAAGCUCUAUCAGCAGGGAAGAUAAUGACGGUACCUGACUAAGAAGCACCGGCUAAAUACGUGCC
rnacentral:rRNA from 1 species